AGCACCCUCAACUGUGAAAAUAAAAAAUGUCUCCAGACAUCGCCACUUGUUUCCUGAGGGCUAAAUUACCAGUUGUUGUAAACUACUGUUUUACAUACUUUUUGGUUUUUUAAUCUCUAAAGAGAGGAGUUGUGAAAAGAUGUGUCUUUUCCAGCUCUGAUAUUCUCUGACCUGUCCAGCUAUGCUCACAAAAUUGAUGAGAAACUCUAUCUGUUCUUAUCAGAUGCAGAUAAGAAACGUGGGAAGCCACAAGAAAGCCAAGUAGCCUGGGAAAAAGUGGUCAUUGAGCCAUGAGAAAAAAUUAACAUUUGAUCCUGUUGGUGCCACCUGAAGGCAGAGAUGGCUGAGGACCCCCGAGUGUAUAUAUCUGGAACUUAUUUAUCAGAGCAUCACUAAGAGCUUUUCUGUAAGAGUGAUUGCCAUUUAUUUAAUGUAUGAAUGAAAGACUUAAGAAUACAUCUGACCCAGGCAGCCUGGGUUCAACUCUCCAUGUGAGAAUACCAAGCUUGGCUGGGCACAGUGCCUCACAUCUGUAAUCCCAACACUUUGAGAGGCUGCGGCAGGAAGAUUACUUGAAGCCAAGAGCUGGCGAACAACCUGGGCAACAAAGUGAGACUUCAUCUCUACAAUUUUUUUUUUAAUUAGCCGGAUGCAGUGGUGCACACCUGUAGUCUCAGCUUCUCAGGAGGCUGAAGUAGGAUUGCUUGAGCCUGUGAGCCCAGAAGUUUGAGACGGCAGUGAGUUACGAUCACACCACUGCAUUAGAGCCUGAAUGGCAGAGUGAGAGCCUAUCUCUAAACUAAGUAAACAAAUACAGACAUACAUACAUAAAGUAAGAAUUAUUAUAAUAACAAGAAUACAA
rnacentral:lncRNA from 1 species